UAGGGAAUCUUCGGCAAUGGACGAAAGUCCGACCGAGCAACGCCGCGUGAGUGAAGAAGGUUUUCGGAUCGUAAAACUCUGUUGUUAGAGAAGAACAAGGACGUUAGUAACUGAACGUCCCCUGACGGUAUCUAACCAGAAAGCCACGGCUAACUACGUGCCAGCAGCCGCGGUAAUACGUAGGUGGCAAGCGUUUUCCGGAUUUAUUGGGCGUAAAGCGAGCGCAGGCGGUUUCUUAAGUCUGAUGUGAAAGCCCCCGGCUCAACCGGGGAGGGUCAUUGGAAACUGGGGGGCUUGGGUGCAGAAGGGGAGAGUGGAAUUCCAUGUGUAGCGGUGAAAUGCGUAGAUAUAUGGGGGAACACCAGUGGCGAAGGCGGCUCUGUGGUCUGUAACUGACGCUGAGGCUCGAAAGCGUGGGGAGCAAACAGG
rnacentral:rRNA from 1 species